rnacentral:rRNA from 1 species
AGAGUUUGAUUAUGGCUCAGGAUGAACGCUGGCGGCGUGCCUAAUACAUGCAAGUCGAACGAGGUAGCAAUACCGAGUGGCGAACGGGUGAGUAACACGUAGGUAACCUGCCCUUAAGCUUGGGAUACCCAGAGGAAACUUUGGCUAAUACCGGAUAACAACAGAGAAGGCAUCUUCUUUGCUUGAAAGGCCCCUUCAAGGGUCACUUAAGGAUGGACCUGCGGCGCAUUAGCUAGUUGGUGAGAUAACAGCCCACCAAGGCGAGGAUGCGUAGCCGAACUGAGAGGUUGAUCGGCCACAUUGGAACUGAGACACGGUACCAAACUCCGUACGGGAGGCAGCAGUAAGGUAGUUUCGGCAAUGGGGGAAACCCUGACCGAGCAACGCCGCGUGAGCGAUGACGGCCCUAUGGGUUGUAAAAAGCUCUGUUGUAAGCCAUGAAUGAUAGCUUGAGGAAAUGCAAGCUAUUUGACGACAGCUUACCAGAAAGCCACGGCUAACUACGUGCCAGCAGCCGC